rnacentral:lncRNA from 1 species
UUCGUUAUGGUUAACAUAUAAUUGUGAAUUUGAAUGGAGGAAUUGGAACUCUUAUUAUGCAUAGAAUUAUGGAAAUCCCAGUCUAAUUAAAGUAUCUAUCCCUCUUGGACCCUUUUGUUCUCAAGUCUAGGCAAUGUUAAAACUCUUUUCUUAUGGAAAUUCAGCAUGAUUUAAAAACCCUAGGAGAGAAUUCUAAUUUGGUUAUCAUGAGAAUUGCAAAGUUAAAAAACAUAGAUACUUUUAUGCAGAGUCAAGGAGGUUAAGAAUUUAGAGCAUAUCUAUGUUAAGUUUUUAGAUAUUUCAUCAAUUCGUAUGGUC